rnacentral:rRNA from 1 species
UCCGUAGGUGAACCUGCGGAAGGAUCAUUACCGAGUGCGGGUCCUUUGGGCCCAACCUCCCAUCCGUGUCUAUUGUACCCUGUUGCUUCGGCGGGCCCGCCGCUUGUCGGCCGCCGGGGGGGCGCCUCUGCCCCCCGGGCCCGUGCCCGCCGGAGACCCCAACACGAACACUGUCUGAAAGCGUGCAGUCUGAGUUGAUUGAAUGCAAUCAGUUAAAACUUUCAACAAUGGAUCUCUUGGUUCCGGCAUCGAUGAAGAACGCAGCGAAAUGCGAUAACUAAUGUGAAUUGCAGAAUUCAGUGAAUCAUCGAGUCUUUGAACGCACAUUGCGCCCCCUGGUAUUCCGGGGGGCAUGCCUGUCCGAGCGUCAUUGCUGCCCUCAAGCCCGGCUUGUGUGUUGGGUCGCCGUCCCCCUCUCCGGGGGGACGGGCCCGAAAGGCAGCGGCGGCACCGCGUCCGAUCCUCGAGCGUAUGGGGCUUUGUCACAUGCUCUGUAGGAUUGGCCGGCGCCUGCCGACGUUUUCCAACCAUUCUUUCCAGGUUGACCUCGGAUCAGGUAGGGAUACCCGCUGAACUUAAGCAUAUCAAUAAGCGGAGGA